GAAGCACGCCAGACCGCCGCUGGUGCAAGUGCCGAAAGGCCGCACUGGAGGAACGUCCGGACUGCACAGGACAGCGCAGGAGUUAACGACUCUCCACCGUGAGGUGAGGAUCAGAGCAACAGAGACGAGCCGAUUGAGUUCGGGUGAAACGGGCAAUCUCUGCGCGCAGCAACACCAAGUAGGCCAGUAUUGAGGUGGUUCCGCUGAGCUGGCGGGUAGGUGGCAUCGAGCCGUUUGGCGACAAACGGCCCAGAGUAAUGGCGGUCACGCCGGAGGUUUCGCAAGAGGCCUCCGGUGCACAGAAUCCGGCUUAUCGGCGAGCUUCACAC
rnacentral:RNase_P_RNA from 2 species